rnacentral:rRNA from 1 species
UUCCAGACUCCUACGGGAGGCAGCAGUGGGGAAUAUUGCACAAUGGGGGAAACCCUGAUGCAGCAACGCCGCGUGGGUGAAGGAGCGUUUCGGCGCGUAAAGCCCUGUCAGCGGGGAAGAAGAAAGACGGUACCCGACCAAGAAGCCCCGGCUAACUACGUGCCAGCAGCCGCGGUAAUACGUAGGGGGCGAGCGUUAUCCGGAAUUACUGGGUGUAAAGGGGGCGCAGACGGCCAUGGCAAGCCCGGUGUGAAAGGCAGGGGCAUAACCCCUGGACUGCACUGGGAACUGUCAGGCUGGAGUGCCGGAGGGGUAAGCGGAAUUCCUGGUGUAGCGGUGAAAUGCGUAGAUAUCAGGAGGAACACCGGCGGCGAAGGCGGCUUACUGGACGGCAACUGACGUUGAGGCCCGAAAGCGUGGGGAGCGAACAGGAUUAGAUACCCUCGUA